rnacentral:rRNA from 1 species
CCUACGGGGGGCAGCAGUAGGGAAUCUUUCACAAUGGGCGAAAGCCUGAUGGAGCAACACCGCGUGCAGGAUGAAGGCCUUCGGGUUGUAAACUGCUUUUAUAAGCGAGAAAUAUGAUGGUAACUUAUGAAUAAGGAUCGGCUAACUACGUGCCAGCAGCCGCGGUCAUACGUAGGAUCCGAGCAUUAUCCGGAGUGACUGGGUGUAAAGAGUUGCGUAGGUGGCAUAAUAAGUAGCUAGUGAAAUCUGGUGGCUCAACCAUUCAGACUAUUAGCUAAACUGUUAAGCUCGAGACCGUUAGGGGUAACUGGAAUUUCUAGUGUAGGAGUGAAAUCCGUAGAUAUUAGAAGGAACACCAAUAGCGUAGGCAGGUUGCUGGGACGGUUCUGACACUAAGGCACGAAAGCGUAGGGAGCAAACGGGAUUAGAUACCCGAGUAGUC